rnacentral:rRNA from 1 species
AUGUUUCUCCAGCUUCACCACUUGGUCACUCUGCUCCUGCUCCUGGUGGCCGCCGAUCGCUGCCACCCCGCCACCGGUGGUGGAAGCAGCAGCGACGAUGACGGUCGGCAGUUCGCCUACAACGGCUUCGUGGGUGCGAACCUGACGCUCAAUGGCGGGGCCACCGUCACGCCGAACGGCCUCCUCAUGCUGACCAAUGGCACCCUUCACACGAAAGGCCAGGCCUUCCACCCGUCCCCGCUGCCGUUCCACACGGAGGCUAACGGCACCGGCGUCGUGCGGUCCUUCUCGACCACUUUCGUCUUCGCCAUCUUUGGCCCGUACGCCUACCUGAGCAGCCACGGACUGACCUUCUUCGCCUCAGCGUCCAGGGAGGUGCUCUCCACUGCGCUUCCAGGCCAGUUCUUGGGCCUCCUCAAUGGCACCAAUGGCAACCAGAGCGCCCGUAUCUUCGCCGUGGAGCUCGACACGCUCCUCAAUGCCGAUUUCCGUGACAUUAACAGCAACCAUGUUGGUGUCGACAUCAAUAGUCUGAUAUCCAUCGAUUCUGCCGACGCCGGAUACUACGAUGAUACCACAGGUCGGUUCCAGAACCUAAGCCUGAUCAGCCGGAAGGCAAUGCAAGUGUGGGUGGACUACGAUGGCAUGGCCACGGAGAUCACCGUGACCAUGGCUCCCCUGGGCAUGGCCAGGCCCAAGAAGCCGCUCCUGCGGACCACCGUCGACCUCUCGGGUGUGGUGCAGAGCACGGCGUAUGUCGGAUUCUCGUCGGCCACGGGCGUCAUGUCCACACGCCACUUCGUCGUUGGCUGGAGCUUCGCACUGGACGGGCCAGCCCCGGCACUGGACAUCUCAGCGCUGCCAGCCUUGCCGCGCGCCUGGCCCAAGCCACGGUCGAGGGUCCUGGAGAUUGUGCUGCCUAUAGCGUCGGUGGCGCUGGUUUUCGCUGUGGGCAUCGGAGUGUGCAUCUUCGUACGACGGCGUCUCAAGUACUCCGAGCUGCGCGAGGACUGGGAGGACGCGUUCGGCCCCCACCGAUUCUCUUACAAAGACUUGUUUCAUGCGACCAAGGGGUUCAGCAACAAGACUCUGCUCGGAGUAGGAGGCUUCGGAAGUGUCUACAGGGGUAAACUCCGCAAGCCUGACAAGGAGAUCGCCGUAAAGAGGGUCUCCCAUGAGUCGAGGCAGGGGAUGAAGGAGUUCGUCGCCGAGGUUGCAAGCAUCGGGCGACUACGGCACCGCAACCUGGUGCCGCUGCUUGGUUACUGCCGGCGCAAGGCGGAGCUUCUCCUGGUUUACGAUUACAUGCCAAACGGAAGCCUUGAUAAGUACUUGUAUGAUGGAUCCGCAGGUACACUGGAUUGGCCUCAAAGAUUUCACAUAAUCAGAGGGGUGGCUUCUGGGUUACUGUAUCUCCAUGAGGAUUGGGAGCAAGUUGUCAUCCACCGAGAUGUGAAAGCAAGCAAUGUUCUCCUAGACAGCGAGAUGAAUGGGCGGUUAGGGGAUUUCGGCCUUGCAAGGUUGUACGACCAUGGAGCGGACGCCCAAACAACGCAUGUGGUUGGCACCAUGGGCUACCUAGCUCCUGAGCUUGGACACACCGGCAAGGCAACCCCGUCCACUGAUGUGUUCGCCUUCGGUGCAUUCCUUCUGGAAAUCACGUGUGGGCGGAGGCCAAUUGAGCAAAACGAGCGCAACAGCCGCAUCGUGCUCGUGGAUUGGGUGAUCGAGCAAUGGCGCAACGGAUUGAUUGUUGAUGUGGCGGAUACGAGAAUUCCAGAUGGGUUUAAUCCGGACAAGGUCUCACUGGUGCUGAAACUAGCACUGCUCUGCUCACACCCAUUGCCCACCGCGAGGCCAACCAUGCGACAGGUCAUGCAGUACCUUGACGGUGACAUGCUCCUCCCAGACUUGUCACCGGCGUACCUCAGCUUCAGCAUGCUGGAGCGGAUGUACAAUGGGGAGUUCAACCAGAACGUGAUGCCAUACGCUUCAUCAGCGAGCGCAGGUGCCAUUUCUGAUCUCUCGGGAGGAAGGUGA